UGUAAUAAUAAUUAAAUAAAUCCCACCCUGUUCUAAGCCCAAAUAACUUUCCUCACACCUUGCUGUCAGUGGUGGCAGCAGUGGUGUAUCCUGGUUUUGUGCUGCCCUAGGCAUGACAACUCAGGCACCCCCACCCCAUCUUCUAAAUACACAUACACACUCACUGACAGACACAUAUACACUCAGUGUCAGACAAACACUUUCACUGACAGACACACAUACACUCACCAACAGACACAUACACACACACUCACCAACAGACACAUACACACACA